rnacentral:tRNA from 1 species
CGGGGUGGAGCAGCCCGGUAGCUCGUCAGGCUCAUAACCUGAAGGUCACAGGUUCAAAUCCUGUCCCCG